ACCUUUGCAAUGUGCGAAAGCACGACAAGGUUAAUCCGAGUGUCUUCUGCUAAAGAAGUCUUUUGUUAGUCAUAGAACCACUGAUGAAUAAGGGGUGGGCAAGUUCUGGUGUCAGCCGCCGCGGUAAAACCAGCACCUCGAGUGGUCAGGAGGUUUAUUGGGCCUAAAGCAUCCGUAGCCGGUUGUUUAAGUUUUCGGUUAAAUCUAUGCGCUUAACGUAUAGGCUGCCGAAAAUACUGGACAGCUAGGGAGUGGGAGAGGUACACGGUACUCAAUAGGAAGGGGUAAAAUCCUUUGAUCUGUUGAUGACCACCUGUGGCGAAGGCGGUGUACAAGAACACGUUCGACGGUGAGGGAUGAAAGCUGGGGGAGCAAACCGGAUUAGAUACCCGGGUAGUCCCAGCUGUAAACGAUGCAAACUCGGUGAUGCAUUGGCUUGUGGCCAAUGCAGUGCCGCAGGGAAGCCGUUAAGUUUGCCGCCUGGGAAGUACGUACGCAAGUAUGAAACUUAA
rnacentral:rRNA from 1 species